GAUGAACGCUGGCGGCGUGCCUAAUACAUGCAAGUCGAGCGAACGGACGAGAAGCUUGCUUCUCUGAUGUUAGCGGCGGACGGGUGAGUAACACGUGGAUAACCUACCUAUAAGACUGGGAUAACUUCGGGAAACCGUAGCUAAUACCGGAUAAUAUUUUGAACCGCAUGGUUCAAAAGUGAAAGACGGUCUUGCUGUCACUUAUAGAUGGAUCCGCGCUGCAUUAGCUAGUUGGUAAGGUAACGGCUUACCAAGGCAACGAUGCAUAGCCGACCUGAGAGGGUGAUCGGCCACACUGGAACUGAGACACGGUCCAGACUCCUACGGGAGGCAGCAGUGGGGAAUCUUCCGCAAUGGGCGAAAGCCUGACGGAGCAACGCCGCGUGAGUGAUGAAGGUCUUCGGAUCGUAAACCUCUGUUAUUAGGGAAGAACAUAUGUGUAAGUAACUGUGCACAUCUUGACGGUACCUAAUCAGAAAGCCACGGCUAACUACGUG
rnacentral:rRNA from 1 species